GGCGUCCGAGUUGUAAUUUGUAGAGGAUGCUAUUGAGUUGUCACCGGUCUAAGUUCCUUGGAACAGGACGUCAUAGAGGGUGAGAAUCCCGUAUGUGACCGGCCAGACGCUCUCUGUAUAGCUCCUUCGACGAGUCGGGUUGUUUGGGAAUGCAGCCCUAAAUGGGAGGUAAAUUUCUUCUAAAGCUAAAUACCGGCCAGAGACCGAUAGCGCACAAGUAGAGUGAUCGAAAGAUGAAAAGCACUUUGGAAAGAGAGUUAAAAAGCACGUGAAAUUGUUGAAAGGGAAGCGCUUGCAAUCAGUCUCGACGGCGGCUGUUCGGCCUCUCUUCUGAGUGGUUUAUUCAGCCGCCGCCGGGCCAGCAUCAGUUUCGGCGGUCGGAUAAAGGCGCGGGGAAUGUAGCUCCCCUCGGGGAGUGUUAUAGCCCCGCGUGCAAUACGGCCCGCCGGGACUGAGGUCCGCGCUUCGGCUAGGAUGCUGGCGAAAUGGUUGUAAGCGGCCCGUCUUGAAACACGGACCAAGGAGUCUAACAUCUAUGCGAGUGUUUGGGUGUCAAACCCGUGCGCGUAAUGAAAGUGAACGGAGGUGGGAACCGCAAGGUGCACCAUCGACCGAUCCUGAUGUCUUCGGAUGGAUUUGAGUAAGAGCAUAGCUGUUGGGACCCGAAAGAUGGUGAACUAUGCCUGAAUAGGGUGAAGCCAGAGGAAACUCUGGUGGAGGCUCGCAGCGGUUCUGACG
rnacentral:rRNA from 1 species